UUCGGUGGAAAGUGGCGAAAGGGUGAGUAACGCGUGGGUAAUCUGCCUCUAAGUUGGGAAUAGCCCCGCGAAAGCGGGGCUAAUGCCGAAUGUGGUCUUCCGGCGCCGGCCGGGACGACUAAAGAUGGGGACCCUUCGGAACCUGUCGCUUGGAGAGGGGCCCGCGUACCAUCAGCUUGUUGGUAGGGUAACGGCCUACCAAGGCUUACGGUUAGCUGGUCUGAGAGGAUGAUCAGCCACACUGGGACUGAGACACUGCCCAGACUCCUACGGGAGGCUGCAGUCGAGGAUCAUUCACAAUGCGCGAAAGCGUGAUGAUGCGACGCUGCGUGGAGGAUGAAGGACUUAGGGUUGUAAACUCCUGUCAUUCGGGAAAAAUGGUUCCGUCCCCAAUACGGGCGGGAAUUGAUAGUACCUCAAGAGGAAGUCACGGCUAACUCUGUGCCAGCAGCCGCGGUAAUACAGAGGUGGCAAACGUUGUUCGGAUUUACUGGGCGUAAAGGGUGCGUAGGUGGAUUUGUGUGUUGGAUGUGAAAUCCCACGGCUCAACCGUGGAACUGCAUUCGAAACUGCGGAGCUAGAGUACAGGAGGGGAGAGCGGAAUUCUUGGUGUAGCGGUGAAAUGCGUUGAUAUCAAGAAGAACACCGGUGGCGAAGGCGGCUCUCUGGAAUGUUACUGACACUGAUGCACGAAAGCUGGGGGAGCGAACAGGAUUAGAUACCCUGGUAGUCCCAGCCGUAAACGGUGUGCACUUGGUGUGGGGGGUAUUGACCCUCCCCGUGCCGGAGCUAACGCGUUAAGUCGACCGCCUGGGGAGUACGGCCGCAAGGUUAAAACUCAAAGAAAUUGACGGGGGCCCGCACAAGCGGAGGAGCAUGUGGCUUAAUUCGAUGCAACGCGAAGAACCUUACCAGGGCUUGACAUGCAGCUGCAUUCCCCUUGAAAGGGGGGAAGCCUUCGAGGGUGCUGCACAGGUGCUGCAUGGCUGUCGUCAGUUCGUGCCGUGAGGUGUUGGGUUAAGUCCCGCAACGAACGCAACCCCUGUGUCUAGUUGCCAGCGAGUAAUGUCGGGGACUCUAGACAGACUGCCUGUGUAAGCAGGAGGAAGGUGGGGACGACGUCAAGUCAGUAUGGCCCUUACGCCCUGGGCUGCACACGUGCUACAAUGGCCGGUACAAUGGGAUGCAAUAUCGCGAGGUGGAGCAAAUCCUCAAAGCCGGUCCCAGUUCGGAUUGGAGUCUGCAACCCGACUCCAUGAAGUUGGAUUCGCUAGUAACGGCGCAUCAGCUACGGCGCCGUGAUACGUUCCCGGGCCUUGUACACACCGCCCGUCACAUCAUGAAAGCCGUCUGCACCCGAAGUCGCUGUACCAACCCGCAAGGGAGGCAGGUGCCGAAGGUGUGGGUG
rnacentral:rRNA from 1 species